GGGGGGGAAGCAAUAGAAAUCCAAAGUAAAAUUAAGUUCUCAUGGCCAGGUGUGGCUUUUUCGUUUCUGAGUACGUUCAGUAAGGUUGUCUUGGUGCUGGCGGAACAUCUCAUUUAAUACUGAGCAGUGUUGAGUUAGAAAUAUUUAUCAUCUCAUGUUAAUCGUUGCAUCCAUCAUUACCACGUAAUUACUACAGUGACCUUUAUUAUCUGCUUAAGUUCCUUCAACUACAAUGACGAAAUAUUCUCACCAAAUGGUGGAUUGCAAGUCACUUUUUUAUCAGAAAUUGCAAGGAUUCUUCAAAAAGGAUUCGGCUAAAUACAUCAGGUUUUUAUUUUUAAACCGAAGAAAAUUCUCUACUAGUUACUUACUGUACUUCCAGAAAUGCUUAGCUAUGUUCAAGUUUUACAGCUUGCUGUAGUUGAAAGUAGAGCCUGUUUUCUAUGUUCUGACCAGGAUUUGUAACUGCUUAACUCAUUAGAGUUGGUGUAUCUGAAAAUAGUUCCUUCAACAUUAAUUGGUUCUUUGCUGUACCAUAAACAAAAUGGACUUUUAGAAUACGGAUCAAUUGAUCAAGGCGGUGGCCUAUCACCCGAUGAGCUGGAGUAACAGCCUUGUGAACCAAUCUUGGUUCAAAUCCCAGCAAAGGCGUUACUAGCUGUAACAUCUCUGUGUAUCGUCCAUUUGACACUAGAGCACAUAAACCUUGAAUGUCCUCCUGUGCGUGUGUGGUUGUUCUCUUGAGGCAUUGUUUUCGGAACAAUCAUGUCAUGGGCCAUUAGUUUUCAAGGGAAUAAGCUGAUAUCGCUCGUGUCUAUUGAAAGAGAUGCACACACUGUGCUCACUUGAUGGUUCUCAGCUAGCUUUCACAUUAAACAAUUGCGACAUUGGUGUCUCCGAUUUGGUAUCUGUAGUUACAGACUUAUAUUGAGAAGAACUUGGACUCAGUAUGAUUUUACGCACCUGCCUUACUUUUCUAAAGCUCAUAUUCCUUUAUCCUGAUGGGAAAGUUGUUGUCAUGUGAUAAGAAGUUCACGGGUUUAAACCCUUGAACACAGCCUUCGGUAGAAAUGCAAGGUUAGACUUUGUACAAUAGGCCUUUGUGGUCGGGUCCUCUUUGGAGCUUUAAUGUAUCGGGCUGCCCUUUUUGUUUUCA